rnacentral:lncRNA from 1 species
CUCUAGCUUCUCCCAAAGACCUCUCAUCAUGGUCUUCGUGUUGACCUUCGAUAAAACCUGAUCCGUUAGACACAUCCUGAUUAUGCUGAAGGCAAUCUCCUUCAGCUCCUCCCAAUCCUUAGCACUAAUCUUUUUCGAUCUCUCUCUUACCAAGAUCUUAUAGAUCUGCUACUGCACCAACAAAUCCUUAACCUACUGUUGCCACA